UAACAAGAACACUGGUGGUGAUGUAUAAA
rnacentral:piRNA from 1 species